AUUUAUUCAGAGUCUUUCUCUUAUAUUGAUUCCAUGUACAUUGCCUAAUCUUUAAAAAUAUGUGUGCUCAGUUCUGUUGUCCUCACUUUAUAUUGGAAGACACCAUCAAAUAAACUAAUAGUAUGCUUCACAUUGCUCAACUAUCAGUGACUGGAUUAUAAUUUUAAAGCCUGUGUUCUUGCUUUUUUUGCAUUAUUUGAAUAAUUAUUUCUUCUUGAGAUGGAAUUAAGAGAAAGUAUACACAUCUGUUGUAUCCUUGUCUGCUUAUUUUUCUUAUUCCAAUUACAUUUUUUGUUUUUCUCUUUUUCUUCUGUCCAAACAGAUUAUCAAGAACACAGUAUUUCAAGCCCCAAAUUUCUAUGUCACAGAUUAAAAUAUAUCUCCUGUUCUGUUGAUGCUGCUAACAGGUUACUCAUCAAAGAUUGAGAUGUAAGUAUACUUAAGUGUUUUAAAGCAAAUUUAUAAUACAGUUAACUUUUCUGCCCAUUUUUCAGUGCUAAAAUGCUUUAUAAUGUUAUGUUUAUAUGGGUACAUUAUGUUUUGAGCCAUGUAUAUGAUCAGUUCUUCGGGGUAUAUUUUUAUGUGUACAGGGAUGAAUGUGAGUGUGAGUGAACACUUGUGCACAUAUGGAAGUCAGAGGACAACCUCAAGUGUCUUUUCUUUCUUUGAAACGGGGUCUCACUAUGUAGCUCUGGCUAGCUUGGACUUCAUUGUGUAAAUUAGGCUGGCCUCAAACUCACUGGGAUCUACCUGCCCCUGCAAGGAUGGUGGUGUUCCACCUCACUCAGGCCAACUUUUUUUUUUUUUUGUAGAAUUUCUUGUUGCCCAUCUAGGCUGUGUUGGCUGGCUAGUUAGUCCCAGGAGUCCACCUGUCUCUACCUCCUUAGCACUGAUAAAAGUAUACUUCAUCAUACCAGGCUUUUUAAAAAUGUUAGUGGGGGUAAGGUGGGGUGAGGUGGAAUAAGUAAUAUGUGCAUGCUUCUCUGAAGCCAGAAGAGAGAGUGGAAUACUAUGGAGUUAGAGUAACAAGUGGCUGUGAGCCCCCAAUGUAGGUGCUUGGUAGGUCCUCUGGAAGAACAGCAAAUGCUCUUAACAACUGAGCACGAUUCUAGCCCUGCCUACAAUAUUGGUUUUGGUUUGUUGCACAAGUGAAAAUCUUUAUGCUUGUGCUGCAGGCACUUUAUAGACCAGGUUAUCUCCCAACCAUGUUCAAGGUAUUUUGUAGAAGUGAAAUUCUUUGGGCAAGAUAACAUGCACAUUUCAGGCUUUGCUGUAUGAGACAAAGUCCUCUGUCUGCCAUCAGAUAUUUUAUUACAGCCCCAUACCAAUUUGAAUAUUAUUAUAAUUUCUGCCAAUUGUUUUAUUUGCAUUUAUUUUGCUUGCAUGAAGCAAUCAUAAAAUUGAAGGGAAAUUAAAUGAAUAAAAAAAAAUGGAGUCUUUCA
rnacentral:lncRNA from 1 species